rnacentral:rRNA from 1 species
UACGUAGGGCGCAAGCGUUGUCCGGAAUUAUUGGGCGUAAAGAGCUCGUAGGCGGUCUGUUACGUCCGCUGUGAAAACCCAGGGCUCAACCCCGGACUUGCGGUGGGUACGGGCAGACUAGAGUGUGGUAGGGGAGACUGGAAUUCCUGGUGUAGCGGUGAAAUGCGCAGAUAUCAGGAGGAACACCGAUGGCGAAGGCAGGUCUCUGGGCCACUACUGACGCUGAGAAGCGAAAGCGUGGGGAGCGAACAGG